AGGCCUCAAGUAUGGAGC
rnacentral:rRNA from 1 species